rnacentral:rRNA from 1 species
GACAGAGGGGGCCAGCGUUGUCCGGAAUGACUGGGCGUACAGCGCGCGCAGGCGGGUGGCUACGUGCCGUGUGACAGCCCACAGCUCAACUGUGGGUGGCCAUGGUAGACGAGCGGCCUGGAGUGGGUGAGAGGGAUGUGGAAUGCCCGGUGGAGCGGUGAAAUGCGUAGAGAUCGGGCGGAACACCAGUGGCGCAAGCGGCAUCCUGGCACCAAACUGACGCUGAGGCGCGAGAGCGUGGGGAGCAAACGGG